rnacentral:rRNA from 1 species
AUGGUGGAUUCCUCCACGCCAAGUGCAAGCAAACGGCACGCCAUGGCGCCGGCCCCUUGGUCCGACCUCCACAGCGAGCUCCUCGUGUCCAUUGCCGCCACCGACGGCGUGUCUCUGAGAGACUACGCAUCCCUCCGCGCCGUAUGCACCACGUGGCGCGCCGCCCUGGCGCCACUGUCGUACCCGUCCCUUCUCUCCCUCGUCCAGGGUCGCCGCAGCCACAGCGCCUCCGUUUUUUCGCUCCCGAUGCGGCGCACCUUCCACCUCCACACGGGGUCCUCCGCUAUCGUCGACCCCGAAUGCAAUUUCUAUGGCCGUGCCCAUGCUCGACUCGUCGGCUCAGGCAACGGCCGCUUCGCCAUCGCCAUCGACGCGCGGGGCACCCGAAGCACGACGCUAAGGAUCAUCCUUGUCGAUCCUCGCGCCGGCAACAUGGUGCAGCUCGGAUCUCCGGCAGGGGGCAAGGCAUCCGUAUGCAAGAUCGUGUUUGCUUCAAACAAGAGCCUGAACCCACGCAACCACAACGACAACUGGAGAGCCGUGGCUCUGUACGACCACAACAGCAGGGUAGCGUACAUCGAUACCGGCGGCGGCGGCAGCACUGAAGACAAGAAGUGGACGACCGUCAAUGUCGCUGAUGGGAAUUGCUACGACGACAUGGCCUUCAACGCCGAAGGGGACAGGGCGUAUUUUCUCAGUUCAUGUGGCAACGUGUACGUCCUCCUCAUGCCACGCGGCGGCCGGCCGGCGGCCGUAAUCGAGCCCUUGGCGACCCUCAUGCAUGACCCCAACCCAACCACCGCCUACGCCGCGCCCUACGACGUUGUGUCCCCAAAGAUGGUCACCAAGCACAUCUUCCUCCGCCAAGGCAGCCUGUACCAGGUGUGGAAGAACACCAAUGCCAACGUCAAAAUGGGCAGCGGCUACUUCAGGAUGUCUGCCGACGAGAUUUUCGUCCUCAGGUACGACACGGAACGCUGGCCAUGCUGGGACGUGGUGAAGGAUCUAGGAGGCUGCUCUGUGUUCCUCGGCAAGAGCAGCAGCCCGGUCGUGGUGCAACCCGUUGUCCCAGAGGUGAGAGCUGAUUGCGUGUACUGGAUAGACUGGCUGGGCGUUCCGAUGGUGUGUGAUAUAGCUACCGGGGCCUCCAAGCCAUGGGUGCUUCCUAAUUGCAUGUGCAAAGGUGACUGUUGGUACUUCGGUCAUGACGACACGACGAGCAUUGAUGUUUGA